rnacentral:rRNA from 1 species
ACCUGAUGAGUUGCUGCUGGUUCUCUAGGGAACAUGUGCACNCUUGUCAUCUUUAUAUUUCCACCUGUGCACCUUUUGUAGACUUGGAUAUCUUUCUGAAUGCAUUUUCAGGUUUGAGGAUUGAUUUGCCUGUCUCUCCUUAAAUUUCCAGGUCUAUGUUUAUUCAUGUACACCCUAAUUAUGUUAUAGAAUGUAAUAAAGUGAGCCUUUUAGCGCUUAUAAACCUUUAUACAACUUUCAGCAACGGAUCUCUUGGCUCUCGCAUCGAUGAAGAACGCAGCGAAAUGCGAUAAGUAAUGUGAAUUGCAGAAUUCAGUGAAUCAUCGAAUCUUUGAACGCACCUUGCGCUCCUUGGUAUUCCGAGGAGCAUGCCUGUUUGAGUGUCAUUAAUAUAUCAACUCCUUCAGCUUUUGUGCCUGUUGAGUGUUGGAUUGUGGGGGUUUUGCUGGCCUUUUUUCAGAAAAGGUGCAGCUCUCCUGAAAUGUAUUAGCGGAACAAUUUGUUGAAUCGUUCAUUGGUGUGAUACUAUCUACGCUAUUGACCGNGAAGCAAGUUCAGCUUCUAACAGUCCAUUGACUUGGACAAAUUUUAUUUAAUGUGACCUCAAAUCAGGUAGGACUACCCGCUGAACUUAAGCAUAUCAAUAAGCGGAGGAAAAGAAACUAACAAGGAUUCCCCUAGUAACUGCGAGUGAAGCGGGAAAAGCUCAAAUUUAAAAUCUGUCAGUC